AAGACAUUAGUAAAAUUGAUAUUACAUUACCUUGUCAAGGUAAAAUUGUGGGUUAGACCCCCGCAUGUCUUA
rnacentral:tRNA from 1 species